rnacentral:rRNA from 1 species
AAACAUGUCUAUUUGGGGUUAUGAAUAGUCUAACCUGCUCACUGAUAUUAUAUUUUAAAGAGCCGCGGUAUUUUGACCGUGCAAAGGUAGCAUAAUCAUUAGUUCUUUAAUUGAGAACUUGUAUGAAUGGUUGGACAAGAGAAAAACUGUCUUUAAUAUAAAAGUUGAAUUUAACUUUUAAGUGAAAAGGCUUAAAUUUUUUAAGGGGACGAUAAGACCCUAUAAAGCUUUAUAAAUUAUUUAAGUUUAAUUGAAUUAAUAAAAUAAAAUUUUAAUUUAGAUGUUAUAUUUUAUUGGGGCGAUAAAGAUAUAAUUUUUUUAUAACUGUUUAUUAAAUUAACAAUAAUGGUUGAGUUAAGAUUAAAUGAUCCUUAAUAAAGAUAAAAGAUUAAGUUACUUUAGGGAUAACAGCGUUAUUUUUUUUGAGAGUUCAUAUCGAAAAAGAAGUUUGCGACCUCGAUGUUGAAUUAAAUAUCUUUUUAAUAGUAGUCGUUAAAAAAGAAGGUCUGUUCGACCUUUAAAUGUUUACGUGA